GAUGAACGCUGACAGAAUGCUUAACACAUGCAAGUCGAUUCAAAGUUCCUUUCGGGGAACGGAGGAUGGCGGACGGGUGAGUAACGCGUAAGGAACUUGCCUUUUGGCCUGGGACAACUGUUGGAAACGACAGCUAAUACCGGAUAUUAUGAGAUUCUCGCAUGGGAAACUUAUGAAAGCUAUAUGCGCCAAAAGAGAGCCUUGCGUUCCAUUAGCUAGUUGGUGGGGUAACGGCCCACCAAGGCGACGAUGGAUAGCCGGCCUGAGAGGGUGAACGGCCACAAGGGGACUGAGACACGGCCCUUACUCCUACGGGAGGCAGCAGUGGGGAAUAUUGGACAAUGGGCCACAAGCCUGAUCCAGCAAUUCUGUGUGCACGAUGAAGGUUUUCGGAUCGUAAAGUGCUUUCAGUUGGGAAGAAGAAAGUGACGGUACCAACAGAAGAAGCGACGGCUAAAUACGUGCCAGCAGCCGCGGUAAUACGUAUGUCGCAAGCGUUAUCCGGAUUUAUUGGGCGUAAAGCGCGUCUAGGCGGAAAAGAAAGUCUGAUGUUAAAAUGCGGGGCUCAACUCCGUAUUGCGUUGGAAACUGCUUUUCUAGAGUACUGGAGAGGUGGGCGGAACUACAAGUGUAGAGGUGAAAUUCGUAGAUAUUUGUAGGAAUGCCGAUGGAGAAGUCAGCUCACUGGACAGAUACUGACGCUAAAGCGCGGAAGCGUGGGGAGCAAACAGG
rnacentral:rRNA from 1 species